rnacentral:rRNA from 1 species
AUGAACGCUGGCGGCGUGCCUAAUACAUGCAAGUCGAGCGAACAGACGAGGAGCUUGCUCCUCUGACGUUAGCGGCGGACGGGUGAGUAACACGUGGAUAACCUACCUAUAAGACUGGGAUAACUUCGGGAAACCGGAGCUAAUACCGGAUAAUAUAUUGAACCGCAUGGUUCAAUAGUGAAAGACGGUUUUGCUGUCACUUAUAGAUGGAUCCGCGCCGCAUUAGCUAGUUGGUAAGGUAUCGGCUUACCAAGGCAACGAUGCGUAGCCGACCUGAGAGGGUGAUCGGCCACACUGGAACUGAGACACGGUCCAGACUCCUACGGGAGGCAGCAGUAGGGAAUCUUCCGCAAUGGGCGAAAGCCUGACGGAGCAACGCCGCGUGAGUGAUGAAGGUCUUCGGAUCGUAAAACUCUGUUAUUAGGGAAGAACAAAUGUGUAAGUAACUAUGCACGUCUUGACGGUACCUAAUCAGAAAGCCACGGCUAACUACGUG